CUCCAUAGAAACUACAAAACACUCUGGAUAAAGUCGAGCAAUGGACGAGGAUCAGUCUGCUGAGGAGACUACAUUUGUUGUGGACGAGAUUACCACAGUAAUCAAAACUGUUGAAAGCACCAUUGGAAACAGCUCUUACCGAUAAUCAAACAGCGGAUGUCAAGCAUUGUAGAGUCAAGUCUAAGCCAGCUAACUAAAUUA